rnacentral:lncRNA from 1 species
CUGUCGAGCACCUGUGACAGGCCAGGCACUGUGCAGGGUGCUCUUGAAGAUAUGAAGCGCCUGCAACAAAGCAACCGAGAUCCCGCAGCUGAGCCGCUCCCAUCAUGAAGCCUCUGGCCUACACAAUGGGGAAGAUGAAACCAGCCAGCCUCAUCAAUCGUCCCUGGGCAGGCCAGUCUCCUCUUCAGUCUCAUGUUCAGGGUUUGCAUAAUUAGGCGCCUGAUGGAGGCGAAUGUCUGCCCCACCGAAGGUCGUCAUUGUGCAGCACUCUGUCGGGGAGCUGUGAGGUACACAGCAGCCCGGGCCUGCUCCGAACAGCAGCAGAGCCUGUGAGGAGGAGCCUGGCUUUUGCAGGAGCGCAUUAAUAAGGUUGGAAACCCGUGGCUUGGGAAUCAGAGCCAAUCGCAGUCAUGUCAGAAAUGGAAAUAAGAAACUCCUGGAUGAAAUGGAGGAGCCAGCAACCCUCUAACCAGAGGUUCUGAAUUUCAAUUUGGGGUCCACUCUGCAAAAGCUGAGGGCUAUUGAGCAAAUCCUUCAACCCCUCAGUGUCUUUGUUUCCUGGACUGCAAAAUGGUGGUGACAUACCAGUUCCCCUUAUCUUAGAGACCAAUCGGUUUACACUUUGAAGAGCUCACGGUGUGUUCAGGGCACUAUUCUAAGGGUGUUACAUGUGUAUUAACUCUAUAAUCAGCAACAACCCUAUGCAAGGUAGGUGCUAUGAUUAUUAUUAUUAUUAUUAUUAUUGUUAUUAUUAUUGUCCCUCGGUUAAAGAUGAGAUAACUAAGCUAUAGGGAAUUUAAGAAACUUGCCCAGGCCAGGCAUGAGCCACUCACUGCUCCCGACCUAGUGAGGCAAUUCAAACAACCAAAAAAAGCCCUAUCACCUCCCAUCACCAUGUCUUCAUAAAAGAAAAGCCAUCUUAUCACCAAAAGUAAAACAGCCAUCAUAUCAGAAUUUAAACUAGAAACAAAAAUUAACGUUAUUAAAAGCUCACUUAUGUUUUGUUGUUGUUGUUGUUUCCAGUUUGUAGCUGAUGGACAAAAACUUUGUCAUGGAUCAGCGCUGAUGGGUAGAGUUUAGGAUGCAUUCAUGCCCAGGGCUCCUCUGCCCAGGCUUGGGGCUACCUUGUGGGGCUUGGUUGUGAGGACCAUGGCCAAGGCUGGGUGGCCAGGGACGAAGUAUCUGUCCUGGCCUGAGCACCUGUGCUGACCUAGCCCAUCCACGCCAUCACAGUGGGCACCUUUGCUGUCCUUCUGGGAAUUCUCCCAGUCACUAGUGAGGGUGAUAGCUUUCCCACUUCUGGCCCAACCUGCUCCCACUCCAUUCCAGGGCCCCCUGGGUCAUCUCCCACUUACAGCCCUCCUCUCGCCUUUGGGAUCUGACACCUGAACUCGCUUUCUGCAGUUUGCCCUUUGGCAUUCUUCAAGGGCUUUGGCUGAUCCUGCCUUCUGGCUGCUCCUGCUCCUCCUGCCUGAUCCCCACCUCUGGACCCCAGCCUGGGCUGUCCUCAACUGUCUGGAAACUACUCAGAAUGUUAGAUCUUGAAUCACCUCUUGCAGCCACCACAGUGUGGACUCAAUCCUUUUUCCAUUCAUGUUCUCCUGUUCUGCAACUGGGCUGAAAUGACUGCAUGGCGAUGAGGGAGAGAAGACUGAGUCUCAAGUGGGGACGCAAUUUGUGGAAAACAAUAGGCCCCAGGGCAAGGAGCGAAAUGGGCAAUUAGCCCAGGUCUGUGUUGAAGUCAGUCUCUUGGACUUACCUGGAAGCUCUCUAAGGCAGGGAUAUAUUCAGAUCAUCUUUUCAUUUUUUUAUUUCCUUCCUCCUCCCAACUCUCCAUGUUCACCCCUCCCCAAAAAAACUAGUAAAGCUCAUUUGCAAUAUAUUUGUUGCUUUGAAUUUUUUUUUUUAUUUAUUAUUAUUAUUUUGAGACACAGUCUCACUCUGUCACCCAGGCUGGAGUGCAGUGGCACGAUCUCGGCUCACUGCAAGCUCCGCUCCCCCCUCCCCCACACCUCCCUCAAAGAGGUUUCAGUGUGACAAGGAAGAGGUCACACACACCCAGGGAGCUAGAAGUAACGCAGAAAAUACAGACUGCUUCAAGAAAAGUACGAAGGCUGGGCUAAACUGGUUUCACUUCCAAGUGAUUGGGUGAUGGCCCCUAUGGGUCAGCCUGGCCUGAAAAAGAAAUCUCCCCAUUGGGGCUCCAGCUUGUCCCAUUCAGCCCUUAACACAGCUCUGAGCUGAGGCAGGAGUCAGCAUCACCAGCACUUUUUGUUUUACAGGGUUUUUUCCCUUCAAUUCUCCAUUUGUCUUGGUCUGCAGGUGCUCUUCUCCCUGACCCUCCUUUCAUAUUCAUCCUAAAUGACAAGACCUUUCCUUAAAAACAAGCAUCUUCUCCUCCCAUGGCAAGACAAGGCUGCCCUUUGUGUGUUGUUUUCAUUAAUUUGUUGAUACUUGUUUUCAAGCUACAUUUUAUUGGACUUGUGCUUACUUUGCUGAAGCACAAAGGUUGUUUAAGCAGAAGGGCACAAGAAAGUGGAAAACUCCUGACCUCAAGUGAUCCACCCACCUCGGCCUCCCAAAGUGCUGAGAUUACAGGCGUGAGCCACCACACCCGAUCACGGGUCUUCCUGCUUCUGUGAUCACCUUCUCAUAACCUUGAGACCACUGCACAUUGAUGAAGUUCAGUUAAUCUACAAUGACUGUAGCCAUCUGAGUGACCCCAGGUGAGACCAAUAGAACUGUCGAACUAGCCAACGCACAGCAUUGUGAGAAACAAUAAAUCAUUGUUUUAAGCCAUUAUGUUUUGUGGUGGUUUGUUACAAACACAUAACUAAAACAACCUCAAAAUCUGGAUAAUAUGUUAGGGCCUGCCUGGAAAGCUGGCUGCCCCCCUGCUCUUCCUCGGCCCAUCGUGGGAACUCUUGGCUAUAAACAAAUCUUCCCGGAGUGGAUAAGUGGUCAGGAUUUAAGGUGGUAUUCUUCCCAGGUGCUCGUGCAACUUCAAAAAAAUAAAAUUCUAAGAAUGGGAUUUCAGGCCCUUAUCAAGGACAUAUUUAUGGCCAGGGACCCUCCUGCCUGCUCUUCAGAAACCACAUCUUGGCUUCUUCCUUCAAUAGCUUCCAGCCACCUGUUAAAGAUCUGCCUUUCCCAGAUGAGAAGGCAGGUCUAAUUCAGAGGAGAUUGAGCUGGUUGAUAAUGCAGAAGAAAUUUCAAGGCGACUCUGAAGCACAUCUAGGCUUCCUUGUAGCCAAACCAAACGAAAUAAUCUCAAACCCCAAAAUAUUACAGGAAAAAAAAUAAAAUCAAGUAUUGCAAAGAUGACAAAAUGUUGGGUCGGGCAUUAUAGAUCAUGCAUUAUAUAUAGCAGUUACCUACAGAUAGUAAAAAGUCACACCUGUAAUCCCAGCACUUUGGGAGGCCGAGGCGGGUAGAUCACUUACGGUCAGGAGUUUGAGACCAGCCUGGCCAACAUGGUGAAACCCUUUCUUUACUAAAAAUACAAAAAUUAGCUGGGCAUGGUGGCACGCGCCUGUAGUCCCAGCUACUGGGGAGGCUGAGGCAGGAGAAUCACUUGAACCCAGAGGUGGAGGUUAAAGUGAGCCGAGAUGGUGCCACUGCACUUCAGCCUGGGUAACAGAGUGGGACUCCAUCUCAAAAAAAAAAAAAAAAAAAAAAAAAAAAGCAGAUGGAUUCCAAUAGAAUUUGACCUCUUCUGAGGUCUUUACAUUGUUCUGAAAGGGUCUGUUUGUGUCCAUUUCCCUAACUAGACUGUAAGUCUCUUGAAAACAGGGAUCAUAUCAUAAAGUAUUCAUUGGCUGGGCAAGGUGCCUCACACCUAUAAUCCCAGUAUUUGGGAGGCCAAUAUGGGAGGAUCAGUUGAAGCCAGGAGUUCGAGACCAGCCUGGGCAACAAAGUGAGACUGACUAUUCUCUAUUUUAAAAAAAGAAAAAUUUUC